UUUACUUCAAAUGGGAUUUGAUUUAAGCCUAUAUACGUAAUAGUUUGCAAUAAAGACUUGACUAUUGCAGUGGUUUUCUGGAUCUUCCACAGAACUUUUUCAAAACUCUUGUAACUAUUGUCCAGCAGCAGUACUCCAAAAUGCAAAUAGAAGUGCUGAUCGUGAUUAUUUUUUUUUGUCUUUUUAUAAAAAGGAGACAGAGCAGGGGGACAGGGGGCGUCCAAAGAGCUUCUUCUCACUGGGAACAACAAAUGAGUGUUGUAUGAAUGAAAAAGUGAGUGUUGCUUGCCUACUACGUACAUAGUUGAUGCAUUACCUUCUGCAUUCUUUAUUUAAAUUAGAGCAGUUUUUUUUUUUGUUGGGUUUUUUUUUUUCCAUUUUUGAAGGAGUCCAUAGAUUUCAGGUAGCAUACAUAUGUAUAUGUACAAGUUUAUAUUCACUUCAGCUGUCGUGUCCUGCUGUUACCUGCUGAAGGAAACACUUAGCUCCUGUCCAGUCUCUCUGGAGUUUCAUAGUGACUGACUCUUCUCAAACUUGUUAAAACACAAAUAGAUUAAAUUGAGAGUAAAUUGCUUUGGAUGCUGAUAGAAAAUUUUGCAAAGGGGAAGGAAGAUGAGCUAAGGAAAAAUAAAAUUAUUAUAAUAACCAAUAUGCCUUAAUUAAAUAUUAAUUAGGUCAUAAUAUUCUAUAGCCCCUGAUUAAUUAUGUCUAAAUUGCUGACUGGUAUUUUAUAACCUUUUAAACCUGAUGUACGCUCUGCAUGUUGCCCAUUUAUUCAGAUACCUGCAUAGAUAUGUUUACAGUAGCAUUCAUUUGGCUCCUGAAAUUCUUUUGUUGAUGUAAAUGAGCAUUUCCAGAAGAAGAAUGCGUCUUCAAUUUUAAUAAUAAGAGAGAUCGUGUGCUUUUGUAACUGCAGACAAAUAUUUUUAGAAUGCCAAAUUGAAGGGAAAAAAAAAAAAGAACUAUUUAAAAGGGGCCUUGUUUUCUUUAUUGUCUUUAUUUUUCCUCAUCUUAGGUAAUUUCCAAAAUAAGAAAAGGCACUGGACCCAACUGAUACAGAGAGCUAGAAAACAAGAAGCAGCACCACUGGGUCUGUCUAUUUUAAUGCUGGCUGGGGGGGCAGGCGGUGACACUUGAGUAGUUUAGAAAAAGACAUGGUAGUGCUUUUGUGAUUUACAGUUGUGGCAGGCCAGAAUGCUUCACACCUAAGUUAAUUCAUCAGAGAGAGAUGUCAGUUUUUUUGUACAGGUGAUGCGCUUAAUGCUGAUUUUUGAUACAAGUUGCGUUGUAUUUUUCUAAUAGGCUGCUCGUAGUCAGAAGUAAUACAGAGUUGCAAUAGGCUGGGUGGUAGAAAGGACUGCGUUCUGUCUAGAAGAUGGAAAUACAAAUGCUUCUGUGGCUUUAUCCACAAGAGGCGAUAAACGUAGAAUUACAAAUAUUUCUAAUAUUUUAGAUAGACAGUAACUUGAUUCAGUUCAGGAAAAGCACGGGGCUUUUAAAUGCGUUAGAAGCCUUCUCAGUAUUAGUCUUGCUUUUUGUUGCAGUUCAAUAUGCAAAAGGAUAGGAAAGCUGUGUGACUGCAUCAAAGAGAUCUUGUUCGCUGUAUUUGUUUUGCUUCUCAUCCUCAAACAACUCCAGUGUAUUUACUUGUACAUUUGUACAUCCAGAAAGCAUUAUUUUGGAAAGAUUUUACUCUUUGAUAAGAUACUUUAUUUUUCUUUUUUUUUUUUUCCUUUUUUUCUUUUUAUAUUUAUUUUUCUAGUUCUUUUUUUUUUCUUUUCCUUUUUUUAACGGGAGUCCUCAUGAUUAUUUUUAUUAAUUUUGGCACAUGAGAUUUAUUGUCUUAUUUGUCUGUAGGAAACUUAAAUAGUCUGUCCAGUCCUGAGUCAGUGGAAAGUCUCCCACAGAUAUCAGAGCGUUUUGGAUUGUACUCUUAAACCGAAGUAACGCUAAUUUAAAAACCUGAUGCAGGAAGCUUGAACUUGAAUGACUCUUAAAGUACAUUUAAAGAACGCUCAGUUCUGCAUGACCUUACGGACUUAACGCAGUUAGCUGUUUUGCCUUCUUUCUUUGUCUAGUUUAAACCGAGGAGAGUCAAAAUAUUACUUGCCUAUUUUAAGGGACACAGCAUUGGUAUCCUCCAUACUCCAGCAUACAGUUAUGAAUUUCAAGAUGCCUAGGAAGGAACGUUGAAAUCCCAAAAUGGAUGGAAACUCCGUAAGAGAGGGGCCCAAGGGGCAUGCACAUAGAAAUUCUGCUGUUAGACGGUCAUCAUGGGUUUUGUUUUUGCUUUUAAUGCAGUAUGAAAUGCACGGUUUCUCUGUUGCUUGGGUGUAAGAAUAAACCAUUGACAUUUUUAAAUCUACUUUUAUUAGUACCCAGUUUUUAAAUAAUUUUCCAACUCAGUCUGUUAUGAAGAUAGUUACCUUUUUUUUUUUCUAAUGGAAGGUUAUACGUUUCUCGUUCUCUAAUUAUUAUAGAAGGAGGAAUUAACAUGAUCACAUGGAAAUUUUGUUUCUUAACUGGAGAUUUACAUUGAUGGAUUGAAGGUUUAAGGCACGGAUUUACAUUUAAAUUACAUAUUACAUAACAUUUACAUUUUAAAUGAUACUAAAACAAUUAUUUCUACUGUCUCCUUGGUGCCUUCUGAAUAUCUCUGUAAAAUUAUUUCAUUUAAAAUAUAACCUGCUCUACAGUAUAUGUCUCUUUCACCUGUGAGACUCGUGUUUUCGUAUGGACGCAAUCCUACUUGGCGUAGCUAAAACUGACGUUGAGUAUACAAUAUUCAGGUGUACACAUUUAAGAUGUUAGUUACUACUUGUUUAGAGUGGCAGUUACUUCCUUCUAUAUGAUACCGAAUGCUCUCACGGGGUCAUACUUGGCAGGAUAAAAGUGAUAUCUUUCAUGAGUUUGUAUUUUUUGCUCCAGAAUUCUUCCAGGAGUCAAAAUGUAGGUGUGGCUGAAGACAGGCAGAUAAAGAAUAGCACUUGGCUGCAGAUACGGCCAGUAGGGAACAGGGUGAUCUAGAGUUUUUUGCUGAGUCCAGAGAAAGGGCUGAUGUCGGAGAGAAAAGCAGACUUGAAAGGUGAUUGUAUGAAAAGCAGGCCAACAUAGAAGUCAUGUGAGCACAGAAGUUGAUCUACUUUAUCUCAUCAGGGAUUUAAAAAGAAAAACAGCUUUAACAUCAUGAGGAGUCCACCUCUUGCAAUUGGUUUUAACAAAUUAGAAGGAACUUAAUGGGAACGUAAUUAUCUUCCCAAAAUAUAUGCAUCUUUUACAGUUGAUUGGAUAUGGUUGCCUUACACCUAUGUGAAGUUCUGGGUUGUACACAGAAGCACAAUUCCAUUAUUGUCAAAAUAAUUGCUGUCACCUUUUAACUUUUGUUCCCUGCCGAGCUGAAUAAAGGGUACGCACACGUGUGGUGCUGCUCCAAAAUUCACAGGGAGAAGGGUCUGGGGCAGCAAGCAUCACGUGCUUGAAUUUCCUAGCUUCAUCUGUCAUCCGCGUGUUCCUCCUGAAACACCAUCUAACCCAAAAUACACGUUAAUUAAAGGUACAGGAAUAAGCACUAGCAAGCUUUCCUGCAGGUCCAUUGGUGAGAAUUGCAAGUGGUGGACAAACAGAUAAGAAGUCUCGCAAUUCUAUUAGCGUUAAGAGAAGAAGGUGAAAAAUUACUUUGUCAGUGCACUUGCAGGCUUUGUUAAAGCUCUGUAUGAGUGUCUUUGAGAAAUGUUUGUAAUGAAGUUUUUCCCGGCGAUCAGUGGCUACUCUCUUAUCGCUGCCUGGUUGGUAUUACUUCCAAUGGCAGUUUUAAAAAGGAAAGUCAUUCUUUGCCUGGUGAAUUUCACCUCUCUGCAGGUAGCUGGUUCAAGGCCAACAUGGAGCUGAAGUCCCACUAAGAAUGUUUCAGAUAGCACCCAGAUUUUCUCUGUCCUUUAUGUGCCAUGAACUACCUCUGGAGUAGCCUCUGGGAGAAAGAUGGCAGAAAGCCUAAUUUUGUGUCACUAAUUUCAGUGGGAUUAACUCUUUAUGAUCAAUAGAAGCCGCAGGCCAAAGAGUUUGUCUAAUUUCUAUCCUUCUAAUAUAAUAUCAUUUGAUUUGUAGAAUGUGUAUCAUAGUUACGCUAUUGUCCAGAAACUAGGCCUCCAUAAGGUACGUGUGAGUUGCAUUGCGCUUGUGUGGACAAAUGGUAAGAAGCUGAGAGAUACUUUUACAUCCAGCCUUGGGUGCAGCAGUGGGAGCCACCUCAAGUUCCCUCCUCCUCUGGCAGAGCACCUUCUGCUUGAAGGCUGGAGGUACCUUGGAUCUUGAGCGUGAGAUUUCUUUUGUGAGAAGCAGCUGAGAUCUGAAUAAACAGGCUGAGGAGGGAAGAGUUGUAUACUGUUUCGAAAGGCAGUGCUUACAGAACCUGAGGGGUUAAAUACUGCUUUGCACAAGGCUGCAUCUCGUGUCUUGGUCUGUGCUGCAGCUGCUGUUCCAGUCCUCCACUUCCUUUGAGUGGAGGCUUUCGCUUGGAGCUGUAGGAGGAGGCUCCUCUGCCUCCCACAGUUCAGUACCAGAGUGGAAGGUUACGUGCUGCCAUUACUUACUUGCUGUGGUGUUUCUUUCAUUUGCCUCCACCUUUCACGUGAGUCACUCUUUUAUCCGUUUGUGAUUAAUAGGAGAGAUUGCAACACGGGCAGCAUCUGUGUAGAAAUAGCCCACAUCCAGGUCCCUGUCUGAUCAGGGUAGCUCACAGGAAGGUGCGGUGAAAUUGCCUGCCUAUUAUCCUUACAGUUUAGGAUUCUGCUGUGCGAGUAAUUAAAGUCUAGUAUGUCUUAAAAUAGUAUGGGGAAAUUAAUUAGGUCAUUGACUUAGAAAAAAGGCAGGAAACCAGUCACUUUACAGAAUAUGGAACAAGGACCAUGGAAACGAAAACUUGCAGGUCAGAAUGCUUUGUGUGCUCCCUGCAGAAUAGCAAACUGAGAGGAAACUUUUGAAAAAAAAUAAUGGCACUCAAAUAGUUUAGAACUUUUGUUUGCUGUUUUUUUUUCUCUAGGAGCACCACCGUCUUUAUGCUGUUGCCUGCCUGAAUGUAGUUGAAUUGUCUCAGCCUGGAUGUAUCCCAGAUUUGUGAAAUGCACAGCAGUAGAAUUUGAGUUUUCAAGUGAAAUAACUCUUCCUUGUCUGAACCGUCCUUCAAAAUGCGGGAUUAGAAGUUUCCUACCACAUCAUCUUCAGGACUCCCAGAAAAUUCUUCUGCAGCUUGUGGUAAGAUGGAAAAAUAAGAAAACAAGACAACUUAGUUAUAAAGUAGAAGUUUAUAGGAAAUGUGAAGGUAUAGUUCUAGGUCAGGGAAGAAGAUAGUGUUUGUGAAUUGGCCUCUAUGCUGAAAUGUUUUUCAGAGCAAUUCCAUGUAAGAAAUUUUGUAUGCCAUAUCUCUUCUCGUAAUCAAAACUGGAACAACAGUAAGCCCGCAUUCACUACCCGGAGUACGUAUUGCAAUAAAUAUUGUUUGCUAUUCAAAAAUGGAAAUACACUAAAAAGUAUAUUUCCAAACAAAGAAGUAUAUAACUUUCAGUGUGAGUUAGGACAGCAUGAAUCACUAAAUAAUACAGUAAAUUUUGACUUGCUUCAUUCCCAAGAAAUAGCUGAUUUUUUUGUAUUUCCAGCUUAUUUCUCCAUUGCUGUAUCAUAUAGAGAUGUCACCAGAAUACUUUGUCUGUGACUGUAGUAUUUCACAUACAGUGUAUUUUCCAAAGGAUAGCAGUACUUUCUUAUAGUUUUUUUUAUCCCGCUUCUCUUUAAUGUCGUACAUAUAACUAAAAUUCAUGGAAUGACUUAGGUUGGAGGGGACCUUAAAGAUCAUCUAGUUCCAUAUUGCCUGCUGUGGGCAGGGUUGGCAGCCGUUAGGUCAGGCUGCCCAGAGCUGCAUCCAGCCUGUCUUUGAAUGUAUCCAGAGAUGGGGUAUCCACAGCUUCUCUUGGCAGCCUGUGCUAGCACCAAAGUAAUAUUCUGCCAAAGACCUGGUUCUCUAAAUGUCUACUGUUCUUAAUAUUGCAGGCAUUUACAUUCACAGCAGUGUAAAAUGCUUCCUAUAAUAAAUAAUGGAAUGCUCAGUUUAUAACCCUAGGAAUUUGGCCAGGGCAUACAAACAACUUAUUUUUCAUUUGUUUGCAGUCAGACAAGUUUAUAAUUAAGACAACAGUGGGCAUAAACAUUCUCGCAGCCUUUGCAUCUCUUCUUUCUUGCUGACAUCAAAGGGCAUAUUUGUGGUAGAAAACACUGCAGUUGGUAAUAAGUAUUUGUGGGACAGUCAGUAGUGCCUGGAUCCCUUUUUUAAAAAAUAAAGCUCUGGUUUUCCCCUAUCCCCCUAUCAUUUGAAUAUCUGCAAUGAAGGCAAAACAUGCUUGGUUUUGUUUGGUGUUUUUUUUUUGUUAUCAUUCCAAACAAUGCAGAUAAAAUGAUAUCUGUACCCUGAUACCACGUGCUGGGCGCACCCCAUAUCACUAGAGAUACUAAGGAAAUUGUGCAAGGACUUACUAAGCAUCACUUCAGUGUCUGAUUUCUAGAAAUGUCUAGUAUAAAUUGCUUUUAUGAUUCCAUUGCACUGACCUGUAGCCUGUAUGGUCCAGCUAUGGAUUAUAUCAAGAAUGAAGCUAGAAGUGAACAGGAAUCCUGAUGUACUUUGUAUAGCAUAGGAGAUAUAUGAUCAGCCACAUAUGUGUGCAUGCAUAUGUGUAUAUAAAUAUAUACCGAUUUGGAUUUACUGUGUCUGAGGACAAAGCCAUAUAUAUGUGACAGACCUUGUAACUUAAUGAGUUGUGCAUGUUUUUGUGUCAGUCCUGACACAGAUGAGAUCCACAGAGAUAGCAGUCCUGGAGGGACCUUGCUGUGUAAGAAGAAUGGUUGCCAGCCAAUGCAGUUUCUCUAAGGGCCAUUUGAGUCUAUGAUUUGAUUCCCAACACUGCGUAGUUUAAAGCACUAUGUAUGUGUUGGCUUCGAAGAUCGUGCAUCUCUGCAAAAACUAGGGACAUCUUUGGAGUGUGGAUCUCUACUGGAAAGGCACUGGGGGAGCAGAUUUCAAGGCUUGAAAAUAUUUGGAUAGAGUAGUAACUUCCACUGUUGGAAUGUUACCAGUUUGAUAGUUUCCAUCUUUGAUUUCUGUCUUGAAUUACAUGCUAGUGAUGUUAAAACAGCUGAGAUUUGUGUCCCCCUAUAUUUCACCCUGAAUUUAAAAUAUAAAUAAUUCACCUUAAUAAUCUGAUUAUUAAGAAACAAGGAGGAAAACCAGACCAGUUAAGAGUUGCCUUGUUGUUAUUAAGAAAAUAGGUAUUUAUGCUAUCUGUUAUGUAUGUAAGUCUAGUAAUAGAUCUAUCUCCUGAGAACUGUGCCUCAGAAUGAACUGCAAGAUCAGAAACUAAAUUGCAGUCUCCAGCAUGGUGUGUUUAUAACAGUGAUCUAAUCCAAGGGCUCUAAUGGCAUGGCGUCUUGUUAAAGUCUUUGCAAGUUAAUGUUCAUUGCCUGUGAAAGAAAUGCUGCUAACACUGAGGCAAAGUAAUGCCCAAUGGUAUUGCCACAAAUAAUUAAAAUAAAUUUACAGACAAACUGUCUGCGAUGGUGAUAACAAAUGCUAACCCAUUGAGCAGCAAAGUAGUACUUUCUGAUUUUCAGUGGUUAUUUUGUAUCACAGCCACCUUGGUGGUAAUCUAGAUUCAUUCUGAAAACUAACUGCUGUACCUUCUGUUGACAGUCUGACAUUCAACACUCUUGUUAUUUUCUCAUUGUUUUGGUUUUCGAUUUUUUUUGGAAUGCAACUCAGAAAUCUUUCUAUACCCAAUGAACUUCCUUCAAGUACACUUACUCUGGAUACUCUGAGGGAGGAGAAAUUGUUCUCCAUGCUUCAGGUUUCCUUGAUAGGUGAGGUUGACUGACAGCAGCACUGCUCAUGCUGCGUUGCUCCACGUAAAAAUAGUGGUGUCAGUUGGUCUGGUCUUGUCUUACCUGUUGCAAAGUGAGGAAUGAGACGUUUUGAGAUGAGAUGCAAAUGCAAAUUCAAAUUAAGUUGACUUUUUAUUAAGUUGACUUAUUUCUCAAUUUCUGGCCAAGAUGUACUUAGAUGUUCAAACCAGCAGAGGGUAAAGGCUGCUGCCUGAAAUCAAUACAGCAGUGGUCUGCAGAAUGUAGCUAUUUUUCCUGUAUGUUAUGCCAAAAGAAAGACCUGUAACAAAAAGUGGCUGAGCUAUAGCUAACUACAAUAAUAAUAUAAUAAUAAUAAUAAAUUUGAAGAUUUGAGAGACAAAAGGAGCUUGCAAGGAGUAGAGUAAGAAGGUAAUGAAAUUCUCUAGAUAACUUGGAGAAAAGUAAAAAGGCUGCAAAGUAAAAGUCCGAUUAAAAUACUUUGAAGUAUUUUGGUAGGUGUCAUAUUCUUGCUCUUAUUUUCUAUAAAUCUUAUAAUUAAUCUUUCUAUAAAUUUUACAGAUGAUCAAACAGGAUACCAUGUAUUUUCAGUGUCUCGGUAACUUCAGUACUUCCAAUAAUUUGUUUCUAUUAGUACUUAAUGAAAGUGAAUUAUUAAACAAUGAUUAGCAUAUAUGAAUUCUCAUCACUGGAAGCUACAUAGCUACCUAAAGAGGAACCUGAGACAGAUAAAAAUCAAAUGUGCAUAGUUGCUAUAUUUAAAACACUAGAUGUAAUUUCUAUGUAGGAAGCGAGGUGCUUUUUCCCUCUUACCUCCUGAAUCUGUUCUAGAUGAUUGACUAGGAACUAUAGCUUUGCCCCCGUUUACAAAUUGGUGAGUAGCACUGACACAUGCUUCAGACAAUCUGGCUCAUAAAAACAGCCCAGAAGAGUCUUCAUUGUUUUUCUUUAGUUUUGACCUUUAAUAAGGUCAAAGGUGAGCUCUCCUCAGGUGGCCUGAGGAGAGGGGACAGUGUGGGUCUGCCUUUAAGAAACCAACUUUAGACCUCUAACUGUUGAAGUCAUUACCAGUCGUGUCUGUUGUUUUGAGGACUUUGUUCUGUACAGCUUGAUGUGACUUACAGAGGAUUGUAGCAGUUCUUGAUAUUGAUAGGAGGCUAAGAGAAGAUGGUAUCUUGAAGGUAUCGGAGCCCUUUUGCAGAACAUAGUAGGUUUUCUUUGAUUAGAUCUAGAAAUGCUUCAUGUGUGUAUUUUUAAUGAAUUCACUUUUAGUGGGUGAGAAUUGCUUCUGUUAUGUCAAGACUCUAGAAUACACAACAUCAACGAAAAGUAGGUUUAAGGGCAUGGUAUUUCUAAUGUAAAUGUGAAACUGCCAUGAUUAUAUGUGCAAAGGCAGCUCUGAGUUCAUAAAUUCAUGCGGCCUCUACUGCUCUGACUUCAAAUGCAGAUUAUAGGAUAAUAGUGCAGAGAAGGCUGUGUCUUUUCCCGUUUCUAGGUAUGGCUUAACAGCUAGAAAUAAAAUUCAUCAGUGCCAUGUAUGGAAGAGCUCCACAAACUACAUGUAAGUCUGCUAUGAUGGUUGACAUAAUCAGAAGGUACAGCUAUAAAACUGGUUUUGUACAGCCUGGGGUCAGGGAAUUUCCUGUCUCUUCUGCCUUUUUUUCUUUUUUUUUUUUUAAUUUCACUUUUCUUGAGGUGAACGUUAUUGGAUGACUAAACUGUGUCCACAAAAUUCACAUUCAGAAAACCACCCCAAAUAAACAAUUUUAUGUAUAAAUAAAAGCAUGAAGGAUUAAGCAGUUCUACGUUUGUUAAAUCUAAUUGCAACAAUAGUGUGAUGUAUUAUUCUGAAGCUCUAGAAUGAGGUACUGGAACUGAGAUAAGCUGCUUUCAGUAUUCACUGGAUUUAAAAUUCUUGCUGUUUGCAUCCUGCCAUUAAAUGGUUGGCAACCCAACGGUUGUGACAAAUGUGUAUGUUGGCAAGGAAUAAAAAGUGGUGGCACCUCUGAAGUUUUACAGGAGGUGUGCUGCCUAGGGAUGGUAGACGGUUGGAGCUGUUACUAAUGCCAUUCUGUUAUCUGUGUUGCAGCUAAUUUCUGAAACAAAGAAAUACGGGUCAUGCAUUCUACCUGGUAGUAAGAACUGCUGCAUUUGCUUUUCUUUGAGUGUUUUCUGACACUGGAGUUUUUGUGUACUCACUUCUUUUGUUGUUUUGAUAAUGAAAUAAGUCUGGCUACGAGCUCUAUCAGCCUUUUAACUGCAGAAGGGACUGCUUGAAAAAGCGUGACCCUUCUAAAAUUUUUUCCCUCAAGAGGAAAUGUCUGAUUUUUUAGUUUGUCUUUGAUCCCAUCUCAUCAGUGUAAUUUUAUUCCUUCAGACAAUUGAGCCUGCAGUUCAUUAUAGCACAAAACCGGAACCCUUCUAUUAUCGUAUUUUUAGCAACAAUUAUUUUGAGCCUUCAAAUUGCAUUUGCAAAGGAAAGGCCUGCAUCAAUCUCACAUCUUAGCCUUUAAAACUGACUGUCACUUACACUUCCAGGAGAGGCAGUGGAGGACUGAAUCCAGAGCUGCAGUUCUGAGAACAGACCAAUUGCAUGUGAGGUGUUUUUUGGCACCCUGGCUCGGUGAAAGUGGCUAAGUGAAAUUAAGCAUGUAGUAACCUCUCAAAACAGUUUCCACUCUUGCAUCUUUGUUUGCAGCAUUUUCAUUUACUCUCUAAGGAACAUCAAACGGUGUUUUUGCUUCUUGGAAAUGUAGCAUUGUUGUAGACCUGAGAAUGCUGCAUUUGUUGUCCUACAUCCCUCCUUGUGGGGGCUAUUAUGCGUGACACAUAUGGAAGUGCUUAGUGUUAGGAGAUACUAAUGGCCACUUUCAGGUGUGAAAUCAGAGUCCAGGAGUGCCAUGAGGCAGUGCCCCACAGGCACACCCUUGGCAUUGGCUCAGGAGAGCUGCUUGGCAGGAGGAGGAAUUGAGGCGUUGGGCACCUGUGGGGCACCUCAGCACGGCAGGAGGGACAGAUUUCAGCAUCUUCCCUGAGCAGAACUUUUGACUAUUUUUCAGAGCUUACAGACUUGAUUAAAACAUCGUCCUUCUGUUUAUGGAGCUGAGAAGCUCUUAGAGGCAUGAAUUAAUGGGGAGAUGGGUUGCCUGCUGCAGAAUUGAGAAGUUGUGCUGCUGCAGAAGAGAAAAUUGUUCUGCUAGGUGAUUUGUUAGGUGCAUGCAAUGCUUCCAGAAAUUGACAAGCAAAGGUGUUUACCUUUAAUUGGGACUGACUGUCACUGUCACUUUUUUUUUUUUAGGAAACUCUCCAUUAGAGAAUAUUGUAGUUUUCUUUAACAUGGUGACUGCAAAUAUAGGAAAAGAGGUAUAAUACUUUACUUAUAUCUCUUUACUUAUAUCACAGGAGAGGUGAGGGAGACUUCAGAAGAUUUGGAGGUAUUUUCCACACUUGUCAGAGCAACCGCCUGUCACUGUCUGUGGCAACCCAACUGCAACUUGGAAAGGGGAGCAUCAUUUGCCAGUUAGAAAACGUAGAUUUUUCUAUUCUCAUUGUGCCUCGUUGAUAUAUCUGCGUACUAUAUGUACUAACAUGUAUUUGAGUUCUUCAGAGAUAGGCUUCAAAAACAUGAAAUCUCUAUGUGUUAUAUACCUAGCAUUCUGUAUGUGGAAAGAUGGUUAACGUCAGACAGACUGAGAGGGACUCACAGAGAGAGAAAAAUCUGAUUAUCAGCACCUAGAGAUGAGCACAUUAAACCCCCCCGCAAGGAACUGGACUGCUGGAAAUACUAGACUUGCCAGCCACGAAGAUUUCAUGUGUCUAUGAAGAAUUAUGGUCGCAUAUGAUCCUGGCAAUGGGAAUAAAAGUGGCAAAAUGAAGAUACAGCUGUUUUACAUUUUCACAGGACGAAAUGAAAGUGAAAUAAAAUUGCCAGGAGCAAAUAUGCAAACAGCUGAGACAGCUGAGAAAAAUAUUUGAGGAAAAUAUACAGCCAAAGUAGCAGAGGGAUACUUUUCUCUAAAUCCCAGAAGCAAAAAGCAGAGAAGAGGAUAGAUACUUGCAUCAUGGAGCUGAGAAUUCUGGCAUGCCCAUGUAGCUUUAGAGACAAAAGAUUUCCUAAUUAGAGACAGGAUCGUUUGUGGGACAUGUGAUUCCAGUUUAUAGGAGGAAUUGCUGAGAAAAAGACAUCUAACUCUAGAGGAAUGAAGCAAAGAACAUGAAGAGCAGCUUGAAAUGUCCAGGGAAGGGAGUGAAAUAAUGAUAGCCACUUAUGCAAUACACAGGCUGUGGUCUGAGUCCACAGGAAUCCAGGAAACCUGACAGAGACGACAGGGCAAGGGAUGCUGCUGUGAUAGUACACUGGUACUGAGAAUGUAUUGGAAGGAGCAUGCAAAUCAUCACUACUCAAGGUUCAGUGCUGCGUGCAGCCUUUCUUCUGAAAAAGCAGGUAUACGUACAGCUACAGAGAGAUUGCCAAGGAUACAGGAAAAAAUGUGCAGCAAGACUUGAGUAAGUUCAACAUCUCGUAGCAUGUGCCCACUGCAGAAAGGGCAGGCCGACAGGUAUUUUUUUCAGCUACUGGUUGCAACAACUGCAUUUGCUCUAUCAGCAGCAUCUCAGUGGGUGGUGGGAGCAUGGAGACAGCAGCACUGCCACUGCAGUGUGGUGAGGCUGCAGUGAAAUGAGGGCAGUGAGCGAUGGGGUUGGAAAGAAUAUGUUCAAGAGUGUAACUCAAUAGGGAACAGCAGGACUGCAGUAUGAGGACAGUUGUUACCUGGUGGGCUUCCAGCCCUGGUCAGAUAUGAGGAUGUCAGAGCAAAGCCAGCAGGCAUUUCAGUGGGUCUUUGGCAUGGUGCGAGCUAGUUCUGUUUUAGCAUAACAGGAUGCAGGUGGCGGUCUUAGAGCUUGGAGGGUAUGAAACCAAACUGGAGUAGGUAGGCUGGUGGCAAAGGCCAGUCUGUAGGUGUCUUUGGGAUGGUAGCCCCUGGCCUGGCUGAUCACCAAGUGCUUGCCUGAAGGGCAGAGCAGCAGCUGUCAGGAGAGAAGUUGUGAUGACCUGCCUGCAAGCUCCCAGAGGAGGACAAGUAGGAAGAUGAUGCUUGGAAGAGGCUGAGGAAGUUAAUCUGUUUGAGCAUGACCUGAAUGUUACCCCUAUUUGUUGUAUUUCUGAGCACUUUUCUCUAAAGAAAGGCCAAUUAUAUCUUUGAAGAAUAGAGGCCUCUCAUGUUGUUACUCAUCAUGUGGUACACGAAACGCUAACAGCAACCAGAAAUUGUGAAUUAACCUUGUCCUUUCAUCGCAUAUGGUCAUCUCAUCCCUUGACUGGUGAGUGCUCAAAGCUGCCUGAAAAUAGUUGGGCCCCAGACAACUAAACUUUCAUACCUCAUUACAAAAGGAGCACGGAAGAUGAGAAGGAAAAAUGAUUGUCUCAAGGGACGCAGCACAGUGGUUUGGGUAGUUCUGCUUAGAAAGUCACUUGUGGCUUUUAUAACAAGGAACUUAAGGUUUGAAUUUUCAGAUUUAGUAGCUGUACAUUUGUUUGGUUUUUUAUUAACUUAAUAUACUGUGUGCCACACUUUCUUUGGGUUAUUAUUGAGUCAAGCAAUGGGUUUGAGUUUAGCUCUAAAUGCAUGUGCUUUCUUUUCCUUAAAACUUUGAGCAGAUUUGGGUCUCAAAUUUCCUGAAUUAUUUGAUGUUGUGCCUGUAAAUUUUUGGUACAGUAGCUGACGUUUGCAGUUGAGUUACCAUUUUGGUUUUGUGUGCUUUUGGCUGAUAUGGAAGAGUAAUGUAGCUUUUGCUUGUUCUCCCUCUUGAACAUUGAGAACUGGAAUUGUCUUCUUGGGUGAGCAGACUCAAUUAAACUACCUCAGUCUACAAAAGGAUCACUGGAAGUUACUAAUCCUCUAGCUCUCAGCUCCAGUAGGAUAGAAAAACAAGUUUUAAAGAGUCUGAGAAAGGUAUAGCUAAAAGCCUUUACUGUUAACUGGGAUUUAAAUAUAAUUACAUCAGUUAAAGGUUCAGAGGGUGUUUUCUUUAACCUAGGAAUAUGUAGAAAGACUAAGUAAACCGUAACAGAACAAAUACAUGUUUGUGAGGUAUUCUGCUAGGAUUCAUUAUAUAGGUGCAGUAUGUUUGGUUUAUUCAAAAGGAAAAUUGUGUGUAAAACUGAAAAGUUAAUGGAGAGAUACUCAGCUGUCUUAAAGAUCUGAAUGAAAUAAUGAAGAUACUUGGAAGAAAAAACAAAUGAACAAACCACUAGCUAUGUUCUAGAUAAAAUUUCCACCAUCAAACUCCCUUUAAUUUCAGUUAAAUCAUUUGAAUUCAUUCAUCAGUCUUUAUGCUUAUAGAAGCUAUUUGUUACUUUUCAGUUUGGAAAUGAAUCGGUUUGUGGUAAGAGCUGCAAAGCAAAGUUUCAAAGCUCUUUGUUUUUUCCCCACAUACUUAAAAUCCGAUCUGUGUCAGGUCCAUAAUGCUACGUGGUCUCUUUAGAGGUUGUAACAUUUCUCUAAAUGUACGUGACCUGAAAAAAUUCUUCACAGUUAGCAAGAUGUCAACAAAUCAGUCAGAUUUGGUAUUAUGCAGAAUACCACAUGCUGUCCUGUAUACUUGGGUCAGAAUUGAUAUUUUCAGAUCUAACUUUACUGCAUAGAUUAUGAGAAAUGAUGUAAAGUGAAAGAGGAUUGCUCAUAAAAACUCCUUCACUGAAAUACUGAAAGUUACAAAAUAAUCUAAUUAUUACACAAUUUUGUCACUGCCAAAGUUAAAUAUUACUGCAAGUAUUUAUUGCAAGAGCCUGUUAAUACUAAGAUGAAAAUAUGACAGUGACCCAUGUUUGUUCAGAGAAAUCAGCUACUACAAAUGUGUUCCAGAGGAAUAAUAAUUUAUUAUUUGUAUGUAUUCAAGAGAAGUGAUAAUUCUGAAUCUGAGAAUGCGCUUAAUGUUUCUACUGGAAAAUAGAAUAAAAAUGUAUUUAACUGUUCCCCUAAAGUACCAGUGUUUUAUAUCCAGAUCCAGAGGUGACCUGUGGUGAGACGCAAAACUGAACCACUGUGCCUUUUCCCCACAUGGACACUUUCUGCUCUUUAAAUUAUUAAAGUAUUAAAAAAUAUGGAAGUGUCUUUAUUUAGGGUAUUUAAUGGAACCUUCUAAGAAUAUAACUGUGUGUAUACAAGGUAGUUGUGCACUACACCAAACAGAAGAAUGGUGUAGAUGAUGCGGGGGGGGGGGGGCAAUAGUGAAUUUAUUAUCUCUAUUCUGCUUAACUAUUAAGCUUUUAUUUAGAGAAUCUCAGUGUGGAAGAAUGUUUUUGGAAUCUCUGGCAUUUUUUGGCCCUUGUGUGAUUUUGAUUCAUGAGUUGAAAUCUUGUUUCCAUGGAAAUAAACUGAAUUGUUGGUUUCUCCCAGAAAUUGAGGGGACUGGGGGACGUUGUUUAGGCUGCUUCUGUCUGUAAUGUUGACCAUAGUAUUUAACCUCUUACCCAUAUGAGUGGGAGCUGUGUUCUAUGGACUAUCCACGUCUAGAUUUCCAAAUGUAUGUGUAACAAAUUUUGAUUAUUGUUAUGGUAUUACACAGCACCGUGAUCUCUUAGACAAGUAGUGCAACUCUCUUCAGAUGCUUGAACCUGACUUGUCACAGCAUUCUCAGGAAUUUUGUCCAAAAGUAGAACUGUGUGUGGUUAGUUCAUGUCCGGUUGUCAACAUCAAGUGACUUGGUAUGUGACAGCUGUCAACAAUUUCCUCAGUAGGAGCCAGUAGAUCUGCCUCUUCUUUUUGCUGUCAUUACUCGUAAUGGGUGUAGUUAUUCUCUGAUUACUUUCAGAACAGCUGAAAUUAAAACAAACGGUUUGUCUCUUGGUAAAGCUGAAAAAAAAUCAGGUCUAGAUACAUAGCUUGGGGGAAGGAGGUUAAGCUCAACUAAUUUUAAUUAGAAUAGUAAGAAAAAGUGAGGCUCAAGAUGCCAGCUUUAUUGUUCCCUUAGCUCUAACUUGUAACUCAAAGAAAUAGAUAAAGUAGGAAUUGGCUGCUGUGGGAAGGGUAGGAGAAGAAUAUGAUUUUUUUAAUUUCUUAUUUUUUUCACUGGUUUGAAAGUGUUCUGCUCAUCAAGCAGUUGGGUGGGUGUCAGUGAAAACAUACCCUUCCUUGUACUGGAAAUGCCAGUUGCUUUUGCUUCAGGAGUAUUCAGAUUGAGUUUAUUUCUGGCUUUCCUAAUCUUUGAUCCUGCCAUUGAAUCCACAGGGAUGCAAAAACAGUCCACCCAUACAAAUCCGAUUUCCAAAUGCUGGCCUUUAUUUUUUUUAUCGUUUGGUUUGGACAAAUUAACAUUCUCCUUGUAAUAACCUUAGUUUACUACCAGAUAUAGAGAACUAUCUAAAACAUACACAUACAUAUUACGUAUGUACGUCAUAUUUGUUAAGACAUUGCCUUUAAUCAAGUGUUUCAAGGCUUUACUGAUAUUCUCAUUUUUCAGUCUUGUACUGUGCUGCUUUUCACUUGACCACAAUGGCCUGGAUUUGUAGCAAUUAAUUUUCAGGGGAAAAAAAAAAAAAAACAGCUCACAGUGUUUAUAACCUGAAAGCAGUCUUAGAACAAAAAGAGGAACAUGCAGCUUUAUACACGUUGUAGUGAGACCUGGUGGUUUGUUAAACUGGAUAUGGACUGUACUGUUUUUUCUGCCCUACCCCACCACCUUACUGAAUGUUUCCAGCCCCUGUUCAUAAGACUAAACCAUCUAAAGUUUGGUAUUUUUCAUCUGAAUAUAAAUAAAAGGUGAAUCUCAUAUGAAAAUAAAAAUAUUAUCCAGGAAUAGUAAAUUUCACUAAAUGAGAACAAAAUUAGAAUUUUACAGCAAAAUCGGGUGUGUAAGCAGCAUUACUGAGAAUAAAAAUGCCAUCCAAAACCAUUCUAACUAGAGUUAGGCAAGUUCAGUGACUCAUGUGUUUCCCAAAAUCAUUUUUUCCUCCUUUUUUCUGAAAUUGUAAUCAUAAAUAAACAUCAACUAUAUGUGCUGUGACAAUUAUUACAGUUAGAUUUCUAGCACUCAAGUGUUGCUUUAAAUUGGGGUUCUUUCAUUUAGUUUUGUCCCUCAACAGAUUUGGGUCAAAGAAUUGUGCUGUGUUCUAAUAUUCAUAUGGUUGGACUAGAUCAUUUCCAAGGGCCUCAUCCAACCCAACCUCUCAACUCUUCUGUGAUUCUGGGAUAUAUCAGGCUUGGUAAUUCCGGUUAUCUCAGACCUCGUUUGGGAUUCAAUGGAAAUUUGGCAAAAGCUUUUAGAUAAUUCCUGUACCUGCCUGGAAUUGUGAAAAACUGAGUUUUAUUUGGAAUUAUCUGAAUCCAAGCUUUCAAUGAGUUGUGGUCCAAGUACUCUGAAACAUGUUCCUAAAACUUGACAAAGUGCUAGGAUUAGGUAGUUAAUGAAGCCUGAUAACAGCUGGAUGUGUUCUUCUUCAUAAGAUGUCAAACCAUUUUCCUUCCAAGUGGUGAGGCAGAAGAUGCUUCUGUCAUACCUCCCAUGCUUGUCUUCAAAUAGGGAAGCUGAUCUUGUGGUUAAAGAAGUGGGAUUGAGUGGCUCCCGGCUCUUCUAUAGGUUUCCUGUGCGUCUCUCCGUGCCUUGGUUUCACCACCACUCAGUACACUGCUAGCUUCUGAAAGAUCUCAGUCAUGCUUUUUGAGUACACUGACAGUUCUACUCAGAGAACUGUAGAAAUGUAUAAUACCAUUCCUAGACAUCUUCGCAGUCUGCAAUGAACUCAGAACUCAUGUGCAAGGAGGCUGUGUGCAUUUUAUCUAGCUAAUAAUCAUUUUCAUUGAGUUGAUGUAUACUGUAGAACCUGGAGUUUCAGUCAAUCUCACUUUCAGUGUUCAAAAUACUUGCUGGAGUUACAGGUAGUGUUGAUUUUGCACAUUUUAUUAUUGAGGAAAAAUAAAUGUCAGUAGAAGUAUAUGAGAAUGGGAAAAACUUUCAGGUAAAAGUAAUUUUCCAUACUAUUGGCCUAUCUAAGAAUUCUAGAACCUCGAACAGUUCUGCAUAUUUUUCUCACAGCAGGUAAUAUAUUUGCUUUCAAAUGAAGAGUAUUUAUUUUUUAAAAUAAAGUGCUAGCAUUUUACCAGGUUAUUAAAUAUUUUGAAAGCCCUUUUUUGUUCAGUAUAAUUAGUUCAUAUGCCUAAGUCAUCUUUGGGUUUAGUACUUCUUUAAAAAGAAUUCUCAAGCUUUUGCAAUUGCUUGUUCCAAAGCUUUGGUGUUCUUUUGCAGCCUGGGGUGAAACUAAGUGUUCAAAGCCUGAAAGAAGGGUCUUGAAGGGAUCCUCAUUUCUCUCCUGAUGGAAAGUAAAAGUAAGCUAAAUCAGAGGUUCUAUUUAAGGUCCUUAAUGAUGAGAAGACAGUUAUAGACUGAGGAAUAGUUUUAUCCGUUAUAUGUGUGUGUGUGUAUAUAUAAAAAAUUAACUAACAUGUUCUGACCUGGGUUGUUGUGGGUAUUAGGAAACAUUUCUUUAAAGACUGUGAUCUAGGGUUUAGAAAUGACUAGUAAUUCUGAAAACACCAGUGUUGGAGAACUGAACUUAAGACAUAGCCAACAUGCCUUCCUAAGGUUUCAAGCCAUUCAGCCUUUCCUAGAAGUCUCACUGAUAAGUUGGAGUACAAGAGUCCAAACUCAUCACCUAGCUUUUUGCCUACUUUCAUUUCUAUAAGAAAAUGCCAUAAAUACAUACUUGUUCGUUAACAUGAAGAGAUGUCAUGUGUAUUUAUUUCCUACACUAAAAAAAAAAAGUCUGCUUAGAUUUUUAGGUAGGUAAUGUUAUACAAGCUAGAAAUUUGUUUCAUCUUCUGAGCUGCAAGUAGAUUAUGGCUUUUCAGAAUGUACACAUUUUCUUUGUAAAUUAAUCUUCCGCUAUCUUUUGUUAGUAUCUUUCAAGUUCUAUCAGCUUCCAGCUAGAAGGCUAAUCAUAAAGCAUCAGAAUUGCACUGUUUUAAACCAACAAAGGAAAGGUACACAUCUGUAAUAACAGUGUAAUGACACCAAAUAUAUGCAUGUACGGUUUAGGAUUAUUUUCCUAGAUGCUUGUUCAUUGGCACAUAGACAAUUUCUUCAAUUCUUUAUCUUUGUAUUAUGUUUUACAACACCCGUCUGGCAUCAUUAGACAUCCACCCGCAAGCAUUUUAAAGACUUUUCCACACAGCCAUAAAAUUGCACCUUCCUCGUUGAAUAUAAAAUCAACUACACCUGUAAUAACAAAGCAGGGAAUACUAUGCAUCUCUUCCUGGAUGUUAACUGCAUUGCAGCAGAGCUGUGGUGGUUUGCCUUCGCAGCCUCAGUGAAAUUAAAGGUCGUGUCCUGAUGUUAUGUCUUCCUGUUUAAAAUGAAUAGCUUGUAAAUGUUUAUCUCAACUACAAGUGAGAACAUGGCCUACAUUUGUGCUCUCCAAUUCCCAUUUUGAGAAACCAUGCAGAAAAACAGCUGUGUAUCCUUUCAUGUCUUUUCUUUUGCUGUUAAACAUUUGCAUCUUUGACUUCGGUUCUUCGCUGGGUUUCUUCCUACUUGCUUUUGGAUUUUUUACUUGAAGCUUGUGUUAGUGUUCUCUAGAUUUAUAGCGGGUUACGUUGUUUUCUGCACAAAAGAACAAGAGAAAGAAAGAAAUCCAGCACAGAAGUACUGAGAAUUCAUGUACAGCGUCAUACAGUAUAUAGUUUCUUUGUGUUCUGCCAAUAUGUAUUUCAGUUUAAAAUGUCUUGAGGCUGGUUGGGACUACUUCUAUAGAGAGAGAACCAAAGUAUACAGUAUAUUGGCUGCCAUUUUGCUGUUUUUGGACAGUCAGGGCUGCUUUCCAUUUCCUAUAAUGUUCCAAUAGAGCUAAAUCACAUAUACACUGUAAUGGCAGCUUCUGAGACCCAGGGCUUCUGUAAAAUGUAAAAGAGCAAAGUAGUAUUUGUACAGUAUAAUAUUUUGAUUUGCUAAUGAGCUGUGAGGUGGGUGUUAUCAUGAACUACUGUGCAGCAAGAAAGGUUCCUAAAACAUGCAUCAGUUUACUCCAUCUCCAAAUCAUUGCAGAUAAUACAGUGUUUAGUUUCUAAUUAGACUUGUGUUGUGCUAAUUCUCGUGAGUAGUGCAAGUGAUUGACAUUCUAUGUUUUAGUGGCAAGCAUUAGAGCAGCUGACUUCAGCUCUGCGGUGAAGCUAGCAUACAGCUGCAGAGGAAAGCAAGCCACUCGCAGAGGCUGAUUUGCAAAACGAAUGCACAUUGAUUGAUAGGGCCUUGUUAUGAGGGGAAGGAGGAAGUAUAGCACGUAUUCUUGAAUUAGACUAAUGAUAUUCUAGUCCUUAAAGGAUUAAGAGAGAAAUGUUCAACCGAAAAAUAUCCUUUGCAUAACAUUUUACAAAUUAUUUAUUUACUUUGGACGGUCUUUUACACUAUUUCUUAGGACAGGAUGAACGUUCUUAUUCCAUGCCUCAGACUGCUGGAUUUGGAAUACAGAUGUUUUGUCCUUAGUCCUGUUUUCUGUACUUGUGAGUAAUAAAUGUAACCUUCAAGGCAAAACAUUGUGAACUAAUUUCUUGAUGGAACAUGCCAGAGCAACACAAGCAUGUUAUGUGGCUAAGAUUAUUUGAGUGAUUUUUGCUAGCUUGUUAUCUCUGUGGCCAUCUCAAGCAUGGAAAUAAAGAUAGCAAUAUAGAUUUCAUAUAUAAACAGGCUCAUUGAACUAGAUGUGCCUAUUGGAUGAAUUGGGUUAUUGUAAGGUACAUCUUCUAACUUGCAGGUCUCUAGUCAGGUUGUAAUCCUUUGUUAAAGUUCUGAAUGGUAAGUUUGGCUUUUCCAAAUGGUAAUGCUAUUUGCAUUCAGCAGAAAUAAAGACUGCCUGUGGCUUCUGAUUGUUGUUCCUGUAGCAUGUGAGUUUUUCACAGCCUUCCUCAUGUCAAGGACUUAAAGAGCUGUGUGAGACAGGACAGUACCAUUAGUCCACUUUACGGAUUGGAGACCACUGGCUACAUUUUGGUCUGUUCCGUACAUUACGGUUUGCUCAGGAUGGUCAUGCUGUGGCAUGCUGCAAACCCCAUCUGCCCUCUCUGCAUGCAGCAUUGGAGCUCUUCCUGGAGCAAGCUCCUCUGUGAUUUAUUGGCACAAAGUUUUUGGUACGGUGUAACUGGAAGAACAGAUGGGAUGAAUGAUGGCAGACUUGGACAAGUUGCAUUUGGCAGAGAGCAGAUCGCUGGAGUCAGUCACUUUAUGGGUCAGAUUUUCAAUUUAAGUGUUGUUCCAUGUAGAUUUCCUCAUCCAGGAUCAAUGAAAGUGGUACAGUGCAACCGUUGGGUUUUGAAAGCUACUAGGUUUGUGCUAGAGGCUGUGUUUUUACAAGACAUGACACUAAGACAUUCACGUUUGUCUGUGUGCUUUGGCCUGCCAGUAGUAAUUUCUUGUAGGUUGUGUAAAUACAGGUCUCAUUUUGCUUUGUUGGUUGAUGUUGGGGUAAUUUAAGUUAGACUUGAAAGCUUUGACUAAAAUCUCAACUAAUAAAACUUAAUCACAAGGUAAGAAUGAUAAAAUCUGUCAUCAGCUUGAGAAAGGAAGGUGUAGGCUAACCCAAACCUCGCAUUAACAUCUCUUCUAAUGCGGUCUCUUUUGUCUCUAUCAGAAAAUGCGCACACACAUACACACACAAAAAGGCUUAGAACUGUGUGAGAGCAUCAGUAAACUUGAAAGCAAUAUCAUGUGGCAUAACUGUUCACUUGACCCAGCUAUAGUCAAUAUGUUUUAACUCUACAAGAGACCUAUGCUGUAGUUGGUUUGAUAACAGCUAUACGAAGGAUUUUCUGAAACAUUCCUAUUUCUCCAAAUAACUGAAGAGAUGACCUGUAAAACAAGAAUUGCUGUUUGUGGAAAGCUCGCUUAAUUGCUGCAUAGGUUGCAGUUGAGAUUCAGUGCUAAAGCAUUUGCCCUACUUGCUCAGCAAAACAUCCAUGAAAUCUAUCCAGUCUAUUCUAGUAAUUGAGUCUAUUCUAGUAAUGACCAUGCCUUAAAAUAGGACAGUGAAGCACACUUUACCUGUAGAGAUAUAUGAUCCUCAUAAACAGAGCUUACUGUUAUUUUCUGAAGUAGAUUCUGCAUGGGUAUCCAACCUUUUGCCUUGCCUGGGCUGCAGAGUGAAGAGGAAUUUUAUGUAGGUACGUAGGAUUUAUUUAGGUUACUCCAAAAGUAAUGCCUCCUAUUUAUUUCCAUGGAAACAUCAACAGUUACAAAGAGCACAAUAACUGUGAUUGAGCAAGUUCUCAGCUACUACUUCUCAACAUAGUCACCAUGAUUAGCUGUGCAUUUUUGCCAGCAAUGAACAAGAGCUUGAACACUGCACUUGUGAAAUUCUAUACUAGUGGAGGUUACCUACUGUGGUCACUGCUGAAAUGCACUACCUCUCACCUCACUGUGCUGACAUCCACUGUUCAGUCUCCAUAAAUGUUCAGCAAGCAUCAGUGAAUGUCAGUGGGUACCAUUUUCUUCUGUGUGGAGGAAUUCAUUUCCACAUCUUUGUGUCAGAUGCCAUUUUGUCAGAUGGCCCCUCUGCUGCCAUCUGUCACAAGGCAACAAAAUUUAAUGGAACAGUGGCGGGAUGGCUCAACCUCUGCUGCCAUACCACCAAGAUCUGCCUCUGACGUCAUGGGCCAAUAUAAUAAAAGAGAAGGCAAUACUUUCAGAGCAGCCCUCAUUCAAUAUAUAAUAUAGUAAAUGUAUAUAAGAAGUAACAGAACAUUUUAUUUUUUAUUGUUUUUUAUUAAAACAUAUAAAAAAGAGCAAUGAAAACAUAAAACUGGAGGGAUAUUUGACCUUGUCUAUGUGAAACCAAUGCAUCAGUCUCUUUCAAUGGCAGUGGCUGCAAUUCUUAGUUCUCAAGGUGUUCAGUAGAGACUUCUUGUGAGAUUUUACUCUUCCCAUGCUUCAUCCUUCAAAACAGUUGUUCACAAAUGUAUGUACUGUCAAAAAGUGAUGGCACGAAUAAGGCGUGACUUGUGGAGUAAGGGCUAUUUCUGUCUGUUAAGAGAGGUUGUAUAAAAGUCUGGUGAGGAGAUGUGAUCCCGUUUUUAAUUGGAACUCUAUGCAUUUGGACUGAAAAUUCGCAAAUAAUGUAUUUAUGUAGAAUGAAAAUGGAGUCGCAAAUUAAAAAAUGGUUCAUUUUUUUUUCAGCAAUCUUGAAACCUCUUCUCAAUUUUUUUUAUCAAAAUGGAAAGCACGGCUUCAUAUUUUUUUGCUGUUCACAGGACUGUGUUCAGCCAGUGUAUCAAACUGCACCAACUUACUUGCAGUAAUUUGAGCUGGCUCUGCACUGCACCCCAUGCCCUGCUUUCAACCCAGAUAGGGUUCAUAGUUCAGCCUGGUGGGGAAGAGCUGCUGCAGUGAUGGUGCUGGGCAGGGAGCAGGCCGCACUAUGAGCUGUGCUGGACUGCAUGUGGCCCAUGUGCUGUGGGUUCAACAUGCCUGAGAUACUGUAAGGCAAAAUGUAAACGUGAUAUUGACACAUACUUGUACUGUACAGCCAUCUCAAAGUGAGCUCCACUCUGUUGCCUUGCAGAGCGUGGUUUCGAUCAGCUACAGCCUGCUCGUUUAAAUGUCUUCAUAUGCCUUGAUUAUAGCUUACCCUGAAGGAACUGAUGCUUUGAAUAGGUAACAGAUGACAUGGUAGCUGUAUCUCACCAUAAGCAAACUGUGCUGUUACUCAGGUGUGGCCAGUUUAAGUCUCACUAUUUUACUGCUCUGCUUCUUCUGUGGAAGUCUCCCUGCCAUUUUUGUUAAAAGCCAAAGUAACUCAUGAAGGUCUGGAUCAGAACAGAGCACAAUUGUUUGUGAACUAAAUGCACUGAAACUCUUUUGGAAGACAAAGAAGGAUCUUUUGAUAUCAGUGAUAGAAAAUGGACUUCUGUUUGUCAUGACACCAUAUCAUUUGCGUAUUUCAGAGAGAAACUGCUGUGGUGCAUGCCUGCAUUCCUACCU
rnacentral:lncRNA from 1 species